GCUAAAUGCGUGACAGCUGGCGCGGGAAAACUGAGGGGGGAAGGGGUACUCGGAAUGUCUGGGCGUAAAGCGUGGGUAGGUGGGUCGUUAAGUCUGAUGUGAAAGCCCUGGGGUCAACCUGGGAAUUGCAUUGGGUACUGGCGGGCUAGAGUACGGUAGAGGGUGGCGGAAUUCCUGGUGUAGCAGUGAAAUGCGUAGAUAUCAGGAGGAACAUCCGUGGCGAAGGCGGCCACCUGGACCAGUACUGACACUGAGGCACGAAAGCGUGGGGAGCAAACAGGAUUAGAUACCCCUGUAGUC
rnacentral:rRNA from 1 species